rnacentral:rRNA from 1 species
CCUACGGGGGGCUGCAGUGAGGAACAUUGGUCAAUGGACGAGAGUCUGAACCAGCCAAGUAGCGUGAAGGAUGACUGCCCUAUGGGUUGUAAACUUCUUUUAUAUGGGAAUAAAACGUUCCACGUGUGGGAUUUUGUAUGUACCAUAUGAAUAAGGAUCGGCUAACUCCGUGCCAGCAGCCGCGGUAAUACGGAGGAUCCGAGCGUUAUCCGGAUUUAUUGGGUUUAAAGGGAGCGUAGGUGGAUUGUUAAGUCAGUUGUGAAAGUUUGCGGCUCAACCGUAAAAUUGCAGUUGAAACUGGCAGUCUUGAGUACAGUAGAGGUGGGCGGAAUUCGUGGUGUAGCGGUGAAAUGCUUAGAUAUCACGAAGAACUCCGAUUGCGAAGGCAGUUCACUGGACUGCAACUGACACUGAGGCUCGAAAGUGUGGGUAUCAAACAGGAUUAGAUACCCCUGUAGUC